CCAAUAGCGUAUAUUAAAGUUGCUGCAGUUAAAAAGCUCGUAGUUGAAUUUCGGGACUAAUAUGUCGGUCGUGCCUCGGUACGUACUGGCAUCGUUGGUUUCUCCUUUCUGAAGAACCAUGAUGUCAUUUAUUUGGUGUCGUGGGGAAUCAGGACUGUUACUUUGAAAAAAUUAGAGUGUUUAAAGCAGGCUCACGCUUGAAUACAUUAGCAUGGAAAUAAUGAAAUAGGACGUUUGAUUCUAUUUUGUUGGUUUCUAGGAUCGACGUAAUGAUUAAUAGGGAUAGUUGGGGGCAUUAGUAUUCAAUUGUCAGAGGUGAAAUUCUUGGAUUUAUUGAAGACUAACUACUGCGAAAGCAUUUGCCAAGGAUGUUUUCAUUAAUCAAGAACGAAAGUUAGGGGAUCGAAGACGAUCAGAUACCGUCGUAGUCUUAACCAUAAACUAUGCCGACUAGGGAUCGGAUGAUGUUAAUUUUUUAAUGACUCAUUCGGCGCCUUACG
rnacentral:rRNA from 1 species